UGGCACCUUUCCAGGAGAAUCUGAGCGGC
rnacentral:piRNA from 1 species